UCCCCUGCAGGUGGGGAGCUGGGGGUUCGAACCCAGAUCUUUGUGCUGGUCCUUGCACUUCGCGCCAUGUACACUUAACCCGCUGCGCUACCAUCUGACUCUCGAAUAUCUUCUAAUCUUAUGGGACUGAGGGACUGAGUGUUUCAUCUGUCCUAAAAUGAGAAAGAAACUGUGGCCCAGGAGGAGGUGGAGCAGUGGGUAAAGCAUGGGGUUCUCAGACUUAAGGUUCCAGUUUGAUUGCUGCCAUUGCAUGUACCAGUGUUCUAGUUCUCUCUCUCCACUGUUAAAUCAAUCCUAUAAAAAAUGGGGAGGAACCACACAACAGUGAAUGUUGGCCUGACCUCAAGGGCCUUCCCACCACUACCAGGAAGCAUCAGAUCCACGGAAGUGUGAGGCCAGCUGAGUCUGCUGCAUUGCUGAACAGCCCCAGAGCUCCUGGACUGAGAGCGACACAGCGUGUUUGUAAUUUUCUACUGACCCUAAUGGCUCCGGUUUCCCCUCAGUAUUUAAGCUGAACAAGACCGAGAGCACUGCUCAGUUCUGGCUUAUGGUGAUGCUGUGGACUGAAUUUGGCAUCUCUGGAACAUCACACAUGAAAGGAUCUUCAGUAGGAUCUGUCCUGUUGGAAUGGCCCCUCCUCCUCUCCUCCUUCAAGACUAUUUUAAGAAGAGAGCUUGACCACGUGAAGAGCAAAGGAAGAAGCAUGGGGUGAGGGACCAACAGCUGCCACUGCCCAGGAAAUGAGGACCCUUGGCAAGGCACCACCUGCCCUGCCGUGGUUGAGCCUCCUGUUCUAGAGGCCUCCAUUUCCCCUGAGAAAUUGGAAUCACCAAGCAAUGCCCUGUAUACAGUAAGCAGUCAGUGGGUGAAGGUGAUUUCUAUACUACAUUUCUGUGCUUUUGAUUCUUUAAAUCUACAGAUUAAAAAUCUACUACAGAUUUUAAAUUUUAUCUACUCUGUUGUGUGUGU